rnacentral:rRNA from 1 species
UACGUAGGGUGCGAGCGUUAAUCGGAAUUACUGGGCGUAAAGCGUGCGCAGGCGGUGAUGUAAGACAGAUGUGAAAUCCCCGGGCUCAACCUGGGAACUGCAUUUGUGACUGCAUCGCUGGAGUGCGGCAGAGGGGGAUGGAAUUCCGCGUGUAGCAGUGAAAUGCGUAGAUAUGCGGAGGAACACCGAUGGCGAAGGCAAUCCCCUGGGCCUGAACAGACGCUCAUGCACGAAAGCGUGGGGAGCAAACAGG